CAUUUUAACUGAGCCACAUACUUGCUGGAUAAAGACCAAUCUACAAUACACCACAAAAAGAGUGCCAUCCGGGCGGACCUGCUCCAAGGAAAGGGAGAGACUACAGCCAACAUCUGAUGCUAGAAGCAGCCUGCAGUACCCUCCCAUUGAGCUAUCAGGCUAAGCAGAGCCUGCUGAAUCCUUAAUUUCAGACUUCAGUUUUUAGCAUGUGAGAUUCAUGUCUUUGUUUUAUACCACCCAGCUCAGAUGGGAGAAGGCAUAUUUCUAACCCUCUGGCUAUCUACAAGGUUCACAAACUCCUUCCAUGAGGAUGUCCAUGCUUUUCCUCCAUUCGGAUUGCUGGAACUGACCACUAUCCUUCCAAAGUGACAGCUAUGAUAGACAAGAACAAAAAUCACCAAGAAUCAAACGGCUUUUGACGGUGGUGUGACUGUGUGUUUGACUUCCCCUCAGUGAUGGACCACAACAUGGAACAGAUAUCAGUAUGGAAAUGACUACAAAGGCUCAAAGAAGCAGAAACCGAUGAAGAGAAGACUAGAUCAAUGAACACAUGUCAGUCACAGAAUUGGCCACCAAAGAUGAAGGAAGAAGCACACAUGUGUGGCAAAUGUCACCCUCCUUGUGAGGUCUCUCAAAGUGCUGAAUGGAAGAUCCAAAGUCAUGUGGGAUCAAUCUGCUUUUCUCUUGGAGACUGAUGAAGUAUUGAGUACUGGGGAUUCACCAUAAAAUCUGUGCUUGAAAUGGGAUUCGGUGGAUCAUGCCGUGGCUUCCACAUCCUCCUGCUAUGAAGGACUCCAUUCUUACUGGAACUUAAUCAGAGAAUAAAGUCUCCCAGGUCUGAAACAAAUAUGUUCAAGAAGAAAGAUGAAGCAGACAACCUUAAAUGAAGAGCAGCUGCCCUCCAAAACCAGUGCAUAGGACCUGACUCACCCUGCCUCCACCCAGCACCCAUCUACUUACUACGAGGAAGUCCCUUCUUGGAGUUCUGAAUUUAAGGCUGCAUACCAGUCUUGGAACAAAAGGGCAGCUCCAAGCUGGUGUGACCUGUAAAGCCCUCAGGAGCUAAGCCAGAGAAUGUCUCUGCACCCAAUCACUUUCAAGGAGCUUCACUGGAAUUAUAAUGAGAAUCUGCUCCUCCUCCAUGGAAGAUCUGGGCAACAAAGAAAGGAAGCAUUGCACUGGAAUCUGGCCUUCUUGAGCUGGUAAGAGGAGAGCCGGUAAGAAGAAAUGGAAAAAUAUGCUGAUGUCAGACUGGGGCCCAUCCCUAACAUCUCUAGGAAAACGGCCUUAGACAAGUUACCUAACCUCUCUGGGCUCUGUUGGCUCACCUUCUCUACUUGUGGAUGAGCUUGUCUUCCUCGAAGAAUGAGGAACUGUCAACAGAAAGGAUCCUGAUGCAUAACUGGAAUAUGUCCCUUUCAGACAGUCAUCUGUGCUGCCUUAUGAAGCUAAUCCUCAUCUCACUCUACUUUGUGAGCUGCUGAGUCAUCUAGCCAUCUGAAUAGAUGAUGAUCUUGUGUUUGGGUGUUUCUAUAGCCAAGUUCACCUUUCUAGACUGUAAGUUGAAGAGAAUGGAACCUCAGAAUAAAGGAUAGGUGAGCAGCCUAGAGCCAAGAGGGAAGGGAAAAGAGUGAACCGUGGUCCUGAUGUCUGCAGCCAAGCUCCUGUUCUCAAGCAUCACAGUGGAGGCAGUUUCUGAAAUCCUCAGACUUCCUUUCCACCUCUGUGCCUUCCAUAACACCCCCAAGUCUUCUAGAACACACAGUCUAUGCUCGUGCAACACUGUUUCUAUUAUCGUUA